CAGCAGCCACGGUAAUACCGAGGAUGCAAGCGUUAUCCGGAAUGAUUGGGCGUAAAGGGCGCGUAGGCGGACUGAUAAGUCAGGGGUGAAAUCCCAAGGCUCAACCUUGGAACUGCCUUUGAUACUGUUUGUCUUGAGUUCGAGAGAGGUAAGUGGAACUGCGAGUGUAGAGGUGAAAUUCGUAGAUAUUCGCAAGAACACCAGUGGCGAAGGCGGCUUACUGGCUCGAAACUGACGCUGAGGCGCGAAAGCGUGGGGAGCAAACAGGAUUAGAUACCCCUGUAGUCCCUGUCUCUUAUAC
rnacentral:rRNA from 1 species